rnacentral:rRNA from 1 species
UAGGGAAUCUUCGGCAAUGGACGGAAGUCUGACCGAGCAACGCCGCGUGAGUGAAGAAGGUUUUCGGAUCGUAAAGCUCUGUUGUAAGAGAAGAACAAGUGUGAGAGUGGAAAGUUCACACUGUGACGGUAUCUUACCAGAAAGGGACGGCUAACUACGUGCCAGCAGCCGCGGUAAUACGUAGGUCCCGAGCGUUGUCCGGAUUUAUUGGGCGUAAAGCGAGCGCAGGCGGUUAGAUAAGUCUGAAGUUAAAGGCUGUGGCUUAACCAUAGUACGCUUUGGAAACUGUUUAACUUGAGUGCAAGAGGGGAGAGUGGAAUUCCAUGUGUAGCGGUGAAAUGCGUAGAUAUAUGGAGGAACACCGGUGGCGAAAGCGGCUCUCUGGCUUGUAACUGACGCUGAGGCUCGAAAGCGUGGGGAGCAAACAGGAUUAGAUACCCUGGUAGUCCACGCCGUAAACGAUGAGUGCUAGGUGUUAGACCCUUUCCGGGGUUUAGUGCCGUAGCUAACGCAUUAAGCACUCCGCCUGGGGAGUACGACCGCAAGGUUG